rnacentral:lncRNA from 1 species
UUCUUCGAGAAUGAUUGCCUACUAUAAAUUUUCUAAGGAUUUAAGACUAUUGUUGACACAUAGACAAGAGAGUCCUGCAUGAUAUUUAUUUAUUGUUUAUUUGAUAGAUAAAAGUAGAACAAUUGUUUUUAAAACAUAGAUAUAUUUGAGUAACAUAUUUACAUAAAUCCCAGAUUUAACUCUGUAGAUACACAGAAUUGAACUAACUUUAUUAUUUAUGUAUUUUUGGCUUUCUGACCUUGUAAUUUUAAUUAGUAAAGAACAUGGUUAUUUCAGAAAGAGAUUUAAUAUAACUACUGCUUGCUUUCUUUAUAAUGUUACCUACCUCCGAAUUAUUUUUUUAAGAGCUAACCUUUUUUUUUUUAAUGAUCGUGUUCUUUUCUCAAGACUAUCUUUGCUACCUCUAAUCACACUGAAUAGAUAACAGUACUAAAAUCAGUAUAUGAAUUACAUCCAUGACAACAGUUUGAUGAAGUCUAGAUGUGCUUUUAACCUCUAGCUAUCUAAUUUCUCAUAGGAAAAUU